rnacentral:lncRNA from 1 species
AUGAAGGCUAUUUUUGAAGAAUUAAUUUUCCUCACGUUUAAACUUGUUUUCCUGUUAGAGAUACAACCUAACCAGCUACCCAGUUCUUUGUGCCAUGAAACUCCUUCAGAAUAUCUGGUUUAUUUUACUGAGAGUGCUGCAUCUAAAUCACUUCUCCAAAGUUACCAGGAGAGGACUCUAAGGUCACACCCGCCCCAGAUGGUCUUGACAAAUGUGAACACUGAAUGCUUGUUGAAGCUCAAGCAUCUAACAUGAAUUUAAGGCAGGAAGAAAGAGAGAGGUGAGUGCCUGAUACCUCCAUUUUAUAAGAAGAACAAAAGCUGAAUCAAAAGUCGCCUGGGAGAUUCUGCUUGUGUAUCACACUUGGGCCAGAGCUGGGCCAUAUAGCCACUCCCACCUGCAAAAGAGCUGGGAAGUAAGUCCUAUAUUUGGUUUUCCAACCUCUAUACUGGAAAACAGCAAUGGAAAAUGCUGUAACAAAUCCACAGCCUCUGACACAAGUGGGAAAAUGGAAGAUAAGGGGAUGGGUCAUGACUAUGCUGCCGUGUUCUUGAUGCUGGUUUGAAGAUAUGCCCCAGGAAUAGCAUAGCAGUAAGGAUGACCUAGAGGUUCUGCAUUGAGAAGCCCCAUGCCAAAAGGAGGCCUGGGUCCCCAAAUGUUACAGUUGUUAGUCACCAGCAACUUUGGUUCACCCAUAGCCACUUGCCCAGAGUACAAAUGUGCCCUGAAUCUGGGUUGAAGCAGUUCCAGCAUCUGCCAUCUCUUGACUCGGGAUUGCUGUUGCUCUUCUCUAUAGCUCAGUGCUGGGUCCAUUUAACAAUUCUAGUACCUUUCUAUCCUCAAGGUUUAUUUUAGGGAGCCCCUUGUCCUUCCCUGCCCCUGAGCAUUGUUCGGGGACACUCUGGCCCACUGAGAAGUUGUCCCAAAGCCCAGGGAUCCUUGUCCAAAUCACUUCACCCCUUCUUAGAAUUGUGAAUACCCAAGGGUAUUAGAAAAGGGUAUAUAACCUUUGCUAUAAGCAGAGAAUCUUGGCUUACAUUUGCUUAACAUAUAAAAACAAUUCAAAUGACUCUUCAAAGAACAAGGACAAUCACCCAAAGUGACUCCCUUUAUUGCCUACUUGGUUACCAGAGAAGUUGAGUUCAACUUUUCCCACUUAAAGGAAAAAAAAUCUGGCUACACGAAAAAUUAGAAAAUGUGCAGUUAUUGCAGUAUUGGCAAGUGGCAUAAUUGAUUCUCUGAGAUUUCAUGCCACACAUCUUUAGAUCACAUCAUUCAUUCACUUACAUUCAUUCCUUCAACCAACCAACAUCUGUGAUGCCUAUUAAGUGCCAGCCCCUGAGCUAAGUGCUGUGAACAUAAAGUCAGAUAAGGAAUGGACCAUUACCCUCAGGACCUUAGCAUCUAGUGUGUGGGAGAGACAUGGAAAUCACUUUUGCCUGUUGUUAUAAGUGCUAAGGCAAAGGGUGGCCCGGGAUUGUGGGGAAUCCUGGAGGAGGAGCAGCUAAAUUAGUCUGGGGCCAGGAAACCUUCCUGGGGAGAGGAUGCUUAAGCUGAAUUUUGGAGUGUGAGUAGAAUUUACUGAAGGAAUUUCCAGGGAGAGGAAAGAGCCUGGGUGAUGACAUGCAGACCUCGAACAGCCUGGCGCAUGGGGAAACAAGAGCACUAGUUCCAUUCGGAGUGAAGAGUGUUCGAAGAAAAGACAUCCAGGAGGCCAGAGAGGAACAGGAGCCAGAUACAGCAAAGUGUUGUUGAACUAGUGAGCUUGAACUCUGGACUGUAGGUUAUGAAUUCAGGUUACAAGCCUAUUCAGUUGUUCCUCACCCAUUCCCAAGAGUAAAAAAGUAAACUUCAAGUGUUUCUAUUUUGAUGAAAGAGGAAAAUUAAACAUCUAUGAUAGAUUACCUUAAACGCAUGGUCUCCCUAAAAUGGUAAUUACAAUCAUUUUAGAGUAAGAAUCCCUUUCUACCAGCCCCUUUGCUUACAUUAACGUAAGUAGGUUAAGCCCUCUGAGGGAUUAAAAAUUGUAGGUGAAUGUUUUACCCUGGAAAUUACAAUGAAUCACAUACUCUCUAGGGCCAAAGUCAUUUCCUGAAAUAAUUUUUCCAGACUAUUAGAGUACAAUUUAUUCCCCUGCAAUAUAAAUUGCACAAAAUGGGAACCGAGUUAGUAAACCUCCCUUAGCAUCUCAAUUACUAUGGUUCCAGGAAACAACUUGGGUAUGGGAAGGAGGCAGACCAAUACCAAUAUGUGCACAUCCAUUUCUUUUCUUUAGUUUGGCUUCAAAGUCUUCCAGUGUUUCUCUGCUUUCCUAGAAGACUGGGACUUUGAGAAGCAGAUUCCCACAGUAAAGUCUUAAUGUAAUUCAAGAAGUCAGAAAGAGUGAAAUUAUUUCGAUGUUUGUUAUUCUAAAGUCUUGUGAAAACAUUUUGUCUUUCAGUUUCAAAACUCCUUUAUGUGUUUUUAAAAUCGUGUUCUGGUACACUCUGAGAGUUUAUACUAUGAGCAUUUCAGAAGAUAGUCAGUAUUGAUAUGUUUAUAUCACAUCCUGUGUGUGAUAGUUGCUGCAGACAUGAUUGAUAAGUUUAUUUUACUCUAAACUUUACAAAAAUAUUGAUUCAUACUACCUUGUAUUAUAUUCAGUUUUCCCAUUUAUAAAGCUCUUUCCUAUACAUUGUUUAGUUUUCACAAUAUCACUAUAAAAUAGACUCAGUAUUUUACAAGCUAGGAACAAAACCAAGAGGUUAUGGCACAUAGGGCUGGGCACGGUGGCUCACACCUAUAAUCCCAGCACUUUUGGGGGUCAAGGCAGAGGAUUACUUGAGGUCAGGAGUUCAAGACCAGCCUGGCCAACAUGGCGAAACCCUGUCUCUACUAAAAAUACCAAAAUUAGCUAGACAUGAUGGCUUGGGCCUGUAAUCCCAGCUACUCAGGAGGCUGAGGCAGGAGAAUUGC